AAAAAGUUUUAUUUUUGCUUUUUGUUAGGUAAUUUUAUUUAUAUAUAUAUAUAUAUAUAUAUAUAUAUUAUUGUUGAUUUAAGUUUUGUAUUAUAUAAUUUUAUUUAAAUUUUUGUUAAUGUAAAAGAAAUAAAAGUAUAAAAUGGCAAAAAUUGUGCCAGCAGCUGCGGUUACACAAUUAUUUUUUUCUAAUAUAAUUUAGGUUUUAAGAUUUUGAUUUUUAUUAAUAUAAUUAUUUAUUUUAAGUGAAAUUUAAUAAAUAAAAAAUUGUUUAUGGUAUAAGAUUGAGAAAAAUAAAGUGUCAAACCAGGAUUAGAUACCCUGUUAUGAUUUAUAAAGAAAUAAAAUUUAGAGUAGUAAUUGUUAAGAUCAGGAAACUCAAAAAAUUUGGCGGUAUUUAUUCUAAAUAGAGGAAUAUGUUUUUAAUCGAUAAUUCACGUUUAUUCAACUUAAUUUUAUUUAUUUUGUAUAUUUCCGUCUUAAAAAAUUUUUUUGAAAUAAAUUUUUUAAUUUUUUUUAAAAAAAGUCAGGUCAAGGUGCAGAUUAUAAUUAAGAAAAAAUGUAUUACAAUAAAUUUAUUUAUGGAAAUUGACUGAAAAAUUAUGAAAAUUGGAUUUAUUAGUAAAUUAAGUUAAAUAAUAUUUAAUUGAAAAAGUUAAUAAAUAUGUACAUAUUGCCCGUCAUUCUCUGUAAGGAGACAAGUCGUAACAAAGUAGAUUUACUGGAAAGUGAAUCUGGUUUCAA
rnacentral:ncRNA from 1 species